ACGGGCCGGUUCCUGGGCGGCAUUCAGCGAUGACAGUUUGAUCUCUCACGAAUACCGUUUUGCACCCUCGUACACAGCGAAGCUUUACGCAGAGCAUGUUUCGAUUGGACCAAGCGGCACUGUGUCGCACUACAUCGGGACUUGGAAAGUUACUUAAACCGAAUGAAGCUUAUUCUGGAUCUGGGCGGACUCAGUAAACGAGAGGUUCUUCACUGCAAAGACUCGUCUUGGGGAUAACAUAUUAGCAACGCGCCAGUAACAGAGCUAACUUUUGGUUUACUGGAAUGGGAAUAACAGCGUCAUUGAUCAUGAGCGAAUUAUCACCCGUCUAAUCAGAUCCUGGGGACCGUUAUCAACAGUUCGUAAACUAGAGGCGUUUGCACUCUGGAGUGGGAAUAUAGCCUACUUAUUGAUCAAACAUUUAUUAAGUGAAUGCAUGAGAGUAGAGAUAGUGGAUGAAAGAACCAAAGUCUCUGUGAUAAGACUUGUGCAUUGGACUCACAGACUGUUAAGAACUGAAGUUUUAACACACUGUUCACAAAAUCACAUCACAACGGAGUUGAACAGUAUUCAAGUUUGAGAUAUAAAUGUAAAGGAUUGGUCUUUUUUUUUUAGUCGCACAAGUCCUCGCACAAGACGCGCCAGAGACACUCCAGAAAAUUACGCGCACAACUGUGGCUGGACUGUGGAAGAGCAACAUGUACCCUGCGUGCUGGACAAACGCUCCCAGUGUCUCUCCAUCUGCCUCUCUGGCAAUGUUUGGGAAUUCGGGUAAAGCGAGAAAGAGACCCUGUUGGAUUGUAAUAUUGCUGUCGGUCAUCCUACAUCUGGUGUCAGCACAAGGUAUGAAAAGUUAAUUUUGUGUGUGUGUAUGUAUUUAUUUACAGCAUUCGCAGUAUUGCAUGUAUGAAAAUUAUGCUGUAUUCCAUGAAUAUGAAGUGUUUUAAUUAAUGAGCAGUAGAUGUAAUUUUGCAUACUACAAUAGCAAGAACCGAUAACUUUAUUCUGAAGGUCAGUUUUUUGUUUUGUGUGUAUUUGUGUGUUCUUGAUUGGCAUAUAUAUUUGCAGUUUUUAGCCAGCCAGAAAACUAGCCAAUCAGAAAUUCCCUCUAAAUAUAAAAGAAAAAUAUUGCACAUUGAGAGUUUACGGCAGAUAAAGGAAAACAGUUCAUUGCUCACUUUCAAACCCCUCUUAAAAUCUGCUACCAGCUAAACGUCCGUUAAAGCAUACAGUUGUGAAAUAAGUAACCGUGCAUUCUGAAAUAAAAAAGAAAACAUGUUAUAUAUGAAAAAAAAACCCAUAAUAGAUAUAUCAUUGAGCGUGGAUCUCUCUCUUGUUACAUUAUUAAUAUGAGCCAUGAUUUGUUGCUUGGUAUUCAGUUCCUUGCUGUUGUAGCAAGGAGCAAGUAUUUUUGGUCUGUUUUCCCAGAAGAGAAUGACUCUAAAAGUGUAAAAAAAAAAAAUAUAUAUAUAUACAUUAAAACAUAUUUUUAAAAAAGGGUUUUUGAAGUAAAGCAAGUAUUAUUAGAAUAUGCCUUGCAAGGGAAAAAAAAAAUAUUUCAAUCUUUCUACUUCAAAAUUUUUAUUUCCUUGUAAUUAUUUGUGAAACUUACUAGCAAUUUCUGAGUGAAAAGUCAAAGUAGCUAGUAUCAGAUUGGCUGGCAUGUCUUUGGAGGGCGGAGUUUUUUUAGAGAGGUUGUGUGGUUGAGGGAAACAAUCCCAGCACCUUUACCGUGUUAAAGUCAUUAUUACACGUCUAUAUCAGUGCAUGUAAAUGUCAGUCAACCGACAUAUACCGCUGAUUUAGCUCAAACUCUACAGCAGCAGUGCACUUAAGUCACAGUUCCCAUGCCAGAACUCCCACUGCUGUCAGAAUACCUCUUCCUCCAUGCUGUAAGUGUGCAUUCUGUUUGUCAGGCUGAAAGGUAGAUCCAUUACAAACGACAGACAGCGUCUCCUCGCCUCUCCUGCUGUG
ensembl:lncRNA